UCUCUCCAGAGAGAAGCAUCAAUCUGUUCCACUGUCUAAAUGAGCUGAACGACCAUUCUCUAGUGAAGGAGAUCCAACAGUACCUGACAUCAGGAAGUCUCUCAGGAGUAUCGCUCUCUCCUGCUCAGUGGUCAGCUCUGGUCUUCAUCCUACUGACAUCAGAAGAGGAGCUGGACAUAUUUUACCUGAAGAAAUACUCUGCUUCAGAGGAGGGUCUUCAGAGGCUGAUGCCAGUGAUUAAAGCCUCCAAAACAUCUCUGUAGGUUCACUAAUAACAUGUAUACACACAACACAAUAAACAUAAUACUAGGAUAUAAAAGUUGCAAACCAAAAUAUAUCUUUAGGUGCACUAAUAACAUGUAUAACUAUACAUACAACAUAAUAUACAUAAUACUAGAAUAUAAAAAAAUCGAAUAAACGAAACAUUGAGAGUAUUAACACUACAAAACCGACAUGUAGCCGUUUAUUUCGUGUAUUUACAACGAGUAAAGACUCAUAGUGGGGCUUAUCUUGGCUAUGGUGGAGAAGGAAUUGGGGGACAGGAACUUUGACUCUCUGAAGUCCAGAUUUAACUGCGUCAUGGAGGAGAAAGGCAUUGUUGCCGUAUGCGGAGUGCGGACUCCCAGAGGAGCUCCUCCCACCCAUUGAUACAUUAACGUCACAAAAAGUCAGUCAGAAGUCAACAGCUGAAAAACGGAUGAUGAAUUGUUGUUUCUUUAGGUCAGGGGUCUUCAACUAAAAUUGAACAAGGUCCAGUUACUAAAAAUUCCUUCCAAGAAUGGUCUGAACCUCUAACCUACUACCUCCUAAUAGCCUACUUUUGUCAAAUACAAUCAACACGGUGGCAUAUUUCCUUAUCAUUUCAGAUGUAUUUUUUUUCAAUUUCCAAAUAGCUUACUUUUAUCAAUGAAAAACAAGUGAGACAAAGUAACACAUAUUAACAUUUUAAGCAAACAAAACAGGUACAUUAGGCCUGCAUUUCAAGUAAACAUAAAAAGAGCAAAAUGCCUACAUGUCAAGUAGGCAGAACAGGUACACCAGGCCUACAUUUAAAAUAAACACAAAAAGAGCAUUAGGCCUUCAUUUCAAGUAAGCAAAACAGGUACCCCAUCUGUAGUGACUGAGACAACCUUUUUUAGAUCAAUCCCCCUCUUUGACAGCAUCUCCUUAAUAGCCUCAUAAAUAUCUUCUCGUCUUGUGUGUGUCUCAAGUGGUGUUAGACCCAACAGGUCCUCACAGAUCUCUUUCUUGUCUUGAUGAAAAAAUCGCACAUAAACCAAAAGCUGGGCAUUAAACGUUACAUCUGAAGAGUCAUCAAUGGCUAAGGAUAUGCAUGGGGCACUCUGAACAGACGCAUCAAGCUGAGACAGUGCGUCAUCUGAUAACAUUUCAGAUUUUUAUUGAUUUUUUAUCACCUGUCGUUGCAGCUGACAUUGAGAUAAGCUUUAUUUUUUCACAUAAUUCAUCCCUGUGUUUACCUUCAAGUAACGUCUCGGCAGCGGCGUUGAAGCACUCCUUCUCAACAGUCGCGUCACUGAAAGUUUUUUUUAUGUUGCCCCAAAAUCCAUGCAGUGAGCAUUAAUUUGCACGUUGCUAGCCUGUUAAUGAGUGAGUGAAGACUCGCGUAGACCUCUCAUACUGAGCUCUCAGCUCGGAUAUUUUCCGCGCUAUUACUUCUGACUUCUGGGGACACUUUUCCUCGAAACAAUCUGUGUUUGGAUUCGUAAUGCCGCUUAAUAUUCCCGCUUUUUAUCAGCGCCACGUUUUCAACAAAUAAAACACUCAACAAAGGUUUAGUACUGACUUGCGGGAGAAUGAGCAUGUAUUGGUCAGUCCAUUCAUCUUUAAAAUCUCUGUUUUCGUGGUCAACUUUCCUAAUUUUCGAGAAAGCCAUUUGUUCACUCCAAAUCGCUCUUCCGUUAAACAAACGAUUUGAUUGGCUAUUUUUUGAGUGACGCUUUUACGCACAUGCCGUUACAAACAGAGGGAGGGGGGGAGUUCGGUGAGUGCAUGAUCUUCGCUCUGUGAAGAUCAUUACUUUUUGCUGUUUUUAUGCUGUACUACGGACUAUUCUGCCUUUCAAUUUGUAUUUCAGUGACAAAUGUCUUUAUUAACAUAAUCAUG